AUGAUGAAGGAAAAAAUGAGCUGGAGACUUAUUUGAGAGAGAAACGAGAACCGCGGAAAGAGAAAGUUUCUUUUGAUAUCUUAGGUUGGUGGAAGACGAACUCGACUAGGUAUCCUACUUUGGCACUAAUCGCAAGAGAUAUAUUGGCUAUACCCAUCUCUUCAGUGGCAUCUGAAUCUGCCUUUAGCACUGGGAGGCGUAUUCUCGAUCCAUAUCGAAGUUCUUUACUUCCCACAACAGUUGAGGCAUUGAUUUGUGCUCAAAAUUGGUUGAAGACGCCGAUUGAUCUUGAUACUUCUUCCUUGGGACCAGAAGAGGAAGUUAGUUCAGAAUUUUUGGACUCUCUCUCUAAAUCCAUGUUCGUAAACAUAACAGAUGAUGAUGUUGAGGACUAAGGAGUACCAAGUCAGCAACCCUGGAAAGUCUGAAGCUAUCAGUUGAUUUUGUGGAUGCAUAGCUGGAAAGUGUCGAU